rnacentral:lncRNA from 1 species
AAGCAGACAGAGACAAAAAAUUUCCAUUAGAUUCAUUCCUAAGCUUGCUUUGUUGCAGCAAGAUGAUCAGUCCAGGAGUGCUGGAGAGAAGAGAAAGCGGUAAAAACCUCUCUUAUUCGGUCACCGAGAAGUCGGACGACUCUUCAGUAACCCAGGGUGAUCCGACCCCUUCGACGCUUUUUUCGCUGUAUACCCCCUCCAUCCUUCGGAAGUGGAAGAAAGGGUACUCUAAUUUGAAUACAUAGUAGGGCCCCAGAACGCUAAAAGGUGGGUACCCAGGGUGAUCCGACCCCUUCGAUGCUUUUUUGUUGUAUACCCCCUCCAUCCUUCGGAAGUGGAAGAAAGGAUACUCUAAUUUGAAUACAUAGUAGGUCCCCAGAACACUAAAAGGUGGGGGAACUAGAGUUGUCACGAUAGAAAAGAUAAAUAAAUAAAUGACUAUAAGGAACUAACGACUCUCUCUUCUUAAACAACCUAUAUCCUCCACACUUAAUCAACAUUUGAUAGAUUAUCCAACCCCUAGCAAUCUUAGUUAUUGGUUCGGUUCGUUAGCUGGUAUUUGUUUAGUCAUUCAGAUAGUGACUGGCGUUUUUUAGCUAUGCAUUACACACCUCAUGUAGAUCUAACUUCCAAUAGUGUAGAACACAUUAUGAGAGAUGUUGAAGGGGGCUGGUUGCUCCGUUAUAUUCAUGCUAAAGGGGCAAGUAUGUUUUUCAUUGUGGUUCACCUUCAUAUUUUUUGUGGUCUAUAUCAUGCCAGUUAUAGCAGUCCUAGGGAAUUUGUUAGGUGUCUCGGAGUUGUAAUCUUCCUAUUAAUGAUUGUGACAGCUUUUAUAGGAUAUGUACUACCUUGGGGUCAGAUGAGCUUUUGGGGAGCUACAGUAAUUACAAGCUUAGCUAGCGCCAUACCUGUAGUAGGAGAUACCAUAGUGACUUGGCUUUGGGGUGGGUUCUCCGUGGACAAUGCCACCUUAAAUAUUUUUUAGUCUUCAUCAUUUACUCCCCUUUAUUUUAGUAGG